GGGCGAAUGGCGGAAUUGGUAGACGCGCUGGUCUUAGGAACCAGUAUUGAAAGAUGUGAAGGUUCGAGUCCUUUUUCGCCUACCA
rnacentral:tRNA from 8 species